CUCAGAUCGGACGAGAUUACCCGCUGAAUUUAAGCAUAUUACUAAGCGGAGGAAAAGAAACUAACAAGGAUUCCCUCAGUAACGGCGAGUGAAGCGGGAUGAGCCCAGCACCGAAUCCCCCGCACCUGUCGUCGGCGGGAAAUGUGGUGUAUGGGACGCCAACUACCGGCCGCGCUGGUGUCCGAAGUCCUCCUGAUCGGGGCCUCUCCCAGAGUGGGUGUCAGGCCUUUACUGGUCACCGGCGGGUCGACUGCGAGCGUCUCA
rnacentral:rRNA from 1 species